AGAGUUUGAUCCUGGCUCAGAAUCAACGCUGGCGGCGCGCCUAACACAUGCAAGUCGAACGAGAAAGUGGAGCAAUCCAUGAGUAAAGUGGCGUACGGGUGAGUAACACGUGGAUAAUCUGCCCUUUAGUGGGGAAUACCGUUGGGAAACCGACGACAAUACCGCAUAAGCUCGAGAGAGGAAAGCAGCAAUGCGCUGAAGGAGGAGUCCGCGGUCGAUUAGCUAGUUGGUGAGGUAAUGGCUCACCAAGGCUGUGAUCGAUAGCCGGCCUGAGAGGGCACACGGCCACACUGGCACUGAAACACGGGCCAGACUCCUACGGGAGGCAGCAGUGGGGAAUCUUGCACAAUGGGGGAAACCCUGAUGCAGCGACGCCGCGUGAGCGAUGAAGCCCUUCGGGGUGUAAA
rnacentral:rRNA from 1 species